CCUACGGGGGGCAGCAGUGGGGAAUAUUGCGCAAUGGGCGAAAGCCUGACGCAGCGACGCCGCGUGAGGGAUGAAGGUCUUCGGAUCGUAAACCUCUGUCAGCAGGGAAGAACGGUCACGGGGCUAAGCAGCAGUGAAUUGACGGUACCUGCAAAGGAAGCACCGGCUAACUCCGUGCCAGCAGCCGCGGUAAUACGGAGGGUGCGAGCGUUAAGCGGAAUUACGGGGCGUACAGCGCUCGUAGGCGGUAUGUCAAGUCAAGGGUGACCUCCCCGCGCUCAACGUGGGAACUGCCUUUGAAUCUGGCAAACUGGUGUGUGUGAGAGUAUAGUGGACUUCCAGGUGUAGGCGU
rnacentral:rRNA from 1 species